rnacentral:ribozyme from 1 species
AGAGUUUUAAUCCUUUUUUUAGAGUUUCUAGAUGCUAUUAAAGAAAAAAAAGAGAGGAAAAAAAGAGAAAGAGAGCAGUUGAAUGAACGAUCGAUGUUAUCCACUUUAUACAUUUAAAAAAACAUG